ensembl:lncRNA novel transcript, sense intronic to ZNF506
GACAAAAUAACCAUUCUGUAUAUUGGAUAUUGACUUCUAUUGACAAAAUAGCCAUAACAAUAUUCUGAUUUAGAAUAAUACUCCUUUUCUGCUGUAUAUUUGCAAGCUUUUAUCAAAUAUUACGGGAGCUCAAUAGAAAUCAACAAUAUGAAUCUUUAUUUACCACAAACAUUAUUGAUGCCUAUGCUUGUUUUUCUUAAAAUCUAUUAGCUUUUUAUGACACAUUUAUACUUUUUCAGUUGUUUAUUACUGAGAAGUGGCUGUCCUGCCAGAAAACUGCUAUUCUCAGCUGUAUCCACAAUGACUAAUAGUGAGUGGAAGUGCAGUGGAUAAAAGCAAAUGUGUCUUCUCUGUAUUUUUUUUCAUCCAUUGGCUAAAAAACAGGAGGAUGCAGAAGAUGAAAGAAAAUACAAUCCCUGAAAGAUCAUGAAGAAGCUCUCAAUCAGACAAAAAACCCCAUAGGAGAUUUUUUUUUUUUUUCAUUAUUGUACUCUCUGCUUCUAUGAGUUUAAAUUUCUUUUACACUUCACAUAGAAAUAAACCUAGGUUUCUUAUUAGAAGAUAGACUGUGAUACUGAAAGCAAAUAAAAUGGUACAUGUUACCUGGCUGCAUUUCAAACAGGUGAUGGUGACACUGCACUGAAGCACCAAAGGUGAUUCUUGUUGGCCAGGCCAGAGCUCCUUGUGAAAAAGGUUAGGCCCACUGGUAUGUCUGAAGCGUCCUAGCUGGAUGGACAGAACCCCAUGAGCUGUUUUGAUUAGACUCUGAAUUUAAAACACCUUGGUGCCCAGUAAUGAGGACAUUUUCACAUUUAGCAUAACGUGAUUUGGUGUGUGGCUUGGAUUUGACAAAUCUUCACUGAGCUAAUGGCUGAUUGGAUUUACUUGGCCUGAAUGGAAAAUAAAAAUCACCUCUGAGCA